UGAGUAACACGUAUCCAACCUGCCGUCUACUCUUGGACAGCCUUCUGAAAGGAAGAUUAAUACAAGAUGGCAUCAUGAGUCCGCAUGUUCACAUGAUUAAAGGUAUUCCGGUAGACGAUGGGGAUGCGUUCCAUUAGAUAGUAGGCGGGGUAACGGCCCACCUAGUCUUCGAUGGAUAGGGGUUCUGAGAGGAAGGUCCCCCACAUUGGAACUGAGAUACGGUCCAA
rnacentral:rRNA from 1 species